ACGAACGCUGGCGGCGUGCCUAAUACAUGCAAGUCGAACGCUUCUUUUUCCACCGGAGCUUGCUCCACCGGAAAAAGAGGAGUGGCGAACGGGUGAGUAACACGUGGGUAACCUGCCCAUCAGAAGGGGAUAACACUUGGAAACAGGUGCUAAUACCGUAUAACAAUCGAAACCGCAUGGUUUUGAUUUGAAAGGCGCUUUCGGGUGUCGCUGAUGGAUGGACCCGCGGUGCAUUAGCUAGUUGGUGAGGUAACGGCUCACCAAGGCGACGAUGCAUAGCCGACCUGAGAGGGUGAUCGGCCACAUUGGGACUGAGACACGGCCCAAACUCCUACGGGAGGCAGCAGUAGGGAAUCUUCGGCAAUGGACGAAAGUCUGACCGAGCAACGCCGCGUGAGUGAAGAAGGUUUUCGGAUCGUAAAACUCUGUUGUUAGAGAAGAACAAGGAUGAGAGUAACUGUUCAUCCCUUGACGGUAUCUAACCAGAAAGCCACGGCUAACUACGUGCCAGCAGCCGCGGUAAUACGUAGGUGGCAAGCGUUGUCCGGAUUUAUUGGGCGUAAAGCGAGCGCAGGCGGUUUCUUAAGUCUGAUGUGAAAGCCCCCGGCUCAACCGGGGAGGGUCAUUGGAAACUGGGAGACUUGAGUGCAGAAGAGGAGAGUGGAAUUCCAUGUGUAGCGGUGAAAUGCGUAGAUAUAUGGAGGAACACCAGUGGCGAAGGCGGCUCUCUGGUCUGUAACUGACGCUGAGGCUCGAAAGCGUGGGGAGCAAACAGGAUUAGAUACCCUGGUAGUCCACGCCGUAAACGAUGAUUACUAGGUGUGGGGGGACUGACCCCUUCCGUGCCGCAGCAAACGCAAUAAGUAAUCCACCUGGGGAGUACGACCGCAAGGUUGAAACUCAAAGGAAUUGACGGGGGCCCGCACAAGCGGUGGAGCAUGUGGUUUAAUUCGAAGCAACGCGAAGAACCUUACCAGGUCUUGACAUCCUUUGACCACUCUAGAGAUAGAGCUUCCCCUUCGGGGGCAAAGUGACAGGUGGUGCAUGGUUGUCGUCAGCUCGUGUCGUGAGAUGUUGGGUUAAGUCCCGCAACGAGCGCAACCCUUAUUGUUAGUUGCCAUCAUUUAGUUGGGCACUCUAGCAAGACUGCCGGUGACAAACCGGAGGAAGGUGGGGAUGACGUCAAAUCAUCAUGCCCCUUAUGACCUGGGCUACACACGUGCUACAAUGGGAAGUACAACGAGUCGCAAAGUCGCGAGGCUAAGCUAAUCUCUUAAAGCUUCUCUCAGUUCGGAUUGUAGGCUGCAACUCGCCUACAUGAAGCCGGAAUCGCUAGUAAUCGCGGAUCAGCACGCCGCGGUGAAUACGUUCCCGGGCCUUGUACACACCGCCCGUCACACCACGAGAGUUUGUAACACCCGAAGUCGGUGAGGUAACCUUUUGGAGCCAGCCGCCUAAGGUGGGAUAGAUGAUUGGGGUG
rnacentral:rRNA from 1 species